rnacentral:rRNA from 1 species
GACGUAGGGCGCAAGCGUUGUCCGGAUUUAUUGGGCGUAAAGAGCUCGUAGGCGGCUUGUUGCGUCGACCGUGAAAACCCGUGGCUCAACUGCGGGCCUGCGGUCGAUACGGGCGGGCUAGAGUUCGGUAGGGGAGACUGGAAUUCCUGGUGUAGCGGUGAAAUGCGCAGAUAUCAGGAGGAACACCGGUGGCGAAGGCGGGUCUCUGGGCCGAUACUGACGCUGAGGAGCGAAAGCGUGGGGAGCGAACAGG